GCGCCGGUGGUGUAAGGCGAACAUCGCUGCCCGAAAGCAGAAGAUGNAAGAUGCGGGUUCGAGUCCCGCCUGACGCA
rnacentral:tRNA from 1 species